rnacentral:rRNA from 1 species
UAGGGAAUCUUCCACAAUGGACGCAAGUCUGAUGGAGCAACGCCGCGUGAGUGAAGAAGGUUUUCGGACCGUAAAGCUCUGUUGUUGGUGAAGAAGGAUAGAGGUAGUAACUGGCCUUUAUUUGACGGUAAUCAACCAGAAAGUCACGGCUAACUACGUGCCAGCAGCCGCGGUAAUACGUAGGUGGCAAGCGUUGUCCGGAUUUAUUGAGCGUAAAGCGAGCGCAGGCGGAAGAAUAAGUCUGAUGUGAAAGCCCUCGGCUUAACCGAGGAAUUGCAUCGGAAACUGUUUUUCUUGAGUGCAGAAGAGGAGAGUAGAACUCCAUGUGUAGCGGUGGAAUGCGUAGAUAUAUGGAAGAAUACCAGUGGCGAAGGCGGCUCUCUGGUCUGCAACUGACGCUGAGGCUCGAAAGCAUGGGUAGCGAACAGGAUUAGAUACCCUGGUAGUCCAUGCCGUAAACGAUGAGUGCUAAGUGUUGGGAGGCUUCCGCCUCUCAGUGCUGCAGCUAACGCAUUAAGCACUCCGCCUGGGGGAGUACGACCGCAAGGUUGAAAC